CCCUUAGGUGUUCUGGGCCGCACACGCGCUACACUGAAGGAGGCAGCGUGUACUCCUGGAUCGAAAGAUUUGGGUAACCCGCGAAUCUCCUUCGUGCUAGGGAUUGAGGUUUGCAAUUAUCCUUCAUGAACGAGGAAUUCCCAGUAAGUGCAAGUCAUAAGCUUGCGCUGACUACGUCCCUGCCCUUUGUACACACCGCCCGUCGCUACUACCGAUUGAAUGAUUUAGUGAGGACUUCGGACUGGGACCGAUGCGGCUUUCGGGCUGCGUCGGUAUUCUGGAAAGAUGUCCAAACUGUAUCAUUUAGAGGAAGUAAAANUCGUANCA
rnacentral:rRNA from 1 species